ACUUGAACAUUGUAUCGGCAUAAUAAAAAACAGAGUGAAAAAGAGAGCCAACACAUUAUUUGCCCCCUUUGCCUGGACAAAGAGAAGUUUACAUCCUAUGAUUCUUUAAUAAGACACUUUCAUAGUAUUCAUAAUAUACAUAUUAAAGAAUCUGUUUUAAAUUUUAGGAAUUUGGCAGAGUUUGAAAUUUGGAGGUCUGCAGAAAACAGAGAGGUAGAUUAUGCUGUUCAUCGAAGAAAGAAAUGUGCUAAUGGGGAAGAAUUUAUUUACUAUAAUUGUAAUAGAAGUGAUUCAAAAGGAUAUGUCAGUACAUGUUUGCAACGGAAUUUAAAGUCUAAAGGAAGCAUUCGUAUGCAAGGAAUUUGUCCAUCAAGAAUAAUAGUUAAAAUUCUAGUAGAUGGAGUGAUUAGAGUAAGAUUUUUUGAAACCCACAUAGGACACCCUGACGAAUUAAGAAGCAAAAGGCUAACAAAAUCGGAACAGGAGAUAAUUGUGGAUAAAUUAGCAGCAGGAGUUUCAAACAAGAGAAUUAUUCAGGAGGCCAGAAGCGAGGACGACAAUAAACUACAAAGGAAAAAUUGUAUAACAAGAGGAGAUUUAGAGUACCUAAUACGAAAAUUUAAUAUUGGCAAGAAAAAGGACAGUGAUGAUAUGAUAGCCACAGUGUUAAAAAUUCAGGAAUGGAACAGUGAUGGAAAAAAUCAUGAUUUUUUAUUUAAACAGAUAGGAGAAACUUAUCCAGGAUUAGAAGAAGAUGAUUUUGCAGUUGGAUAUAUGAAUGCUAUUAUGGAAAAAAAAUUAAGAGAUUUUCCAAAAAUAAUCUGUAUAGAUGGAACUCAUGGAACAAAUAGGAGAAACUGGGACUUGACAAUUGUGUUAAUAAGAGAUGAACAAAAUAUGGGUUUUCCAGUGGCAUUCUUACUAAGUAACAGAUUAGAUCAAUUAAUUCAAGAGGUUUUUUUAGGGCACUUAAAACUAGAUUAGGGGAAGCAGUUCAAGCUGAAUAUAUAAUGAGUGAUGACGAUCCAAAAUAUUACAAUGCAUGGAUAAUGGCUAUGGAUGCAGAACAUAAACCAAGAAGAUUACUUUGUACCUGGCAUAUAGUGAAAAAUUGGAACAUACAAGGAAGGUCUAAAAUCAAGAAGUUGGAAAAUAUACAGAUAAUGAAACAUGAAAUGAGGAAAAUUUUAAAGGAGACUGAUCCAAAAAAAUUUAUACAGCUGAAAGAGAACUAUUUUAGGCAAUUAGAAGAAGAGGAGGAAACUAAUUUUCAGAAUUACCUGAAAAAGUACUAUUUCCAAAGUCAAGACAGAAUAAUGAUGUGGGCACAUUGUUAUAGAAUCAAUGCCGGAAUUAGGGUCAAUUGGGGUAAUUGUAGACACAUCUAAAAUAAGAAACACAACAACAUUUAGAUUUCAAAUUUGACGCGAAGCUCACUAUUCGAGUCGUGCCGACGUCGUGCGAACUCGAUUUCCCUCGAAAUUUUACUCCUGUUUGUGCUCUUCUUGAAAUAGUUGGCUGAUGCAAUUUGAUGUGUUUGGUGGUUUUAUGUUGAAUUUCGGCACUGAAGUUUUCGAAUGCAAAUCAUCGAGAAAACCACUAGUAAUUAUCAAAGAAGAUACUAUGAGCUAUGUGACUGCUAAUUUACAUAUAUACAUAAUGCGUGAUGUGCACAAAAAUCGUUUAGCAAGUCAAAACAUUAAAUAUUGUCCACAAUUGCCCCAAUUGACCCUAAUACAAAUAUGGCAAUUGAAAGCUUAAAUAAAGUUCUGAAGUACAACAAAAUGAAUGGAAAGCAGAAUAUUAGGAUUGAAAAACUGUUGGAUUUACUGGAUGAACUUGUUGAUGAAAGAAUGUGGAAAAGGAUUAUAAACAUGGAAAGGCCAAAUGCAAAUGAUUAUCAGUACACAAUAUGUCAGAGUGCACAUAAAAAAGCAGAAGAAAUGGUGGGUAAUAACGGUAAUGUAUCAUAUUCUGAAUUAGGACAUUUUAAGGUAAGGUCGUUUAGUGAAAAUCAUAAAUUGUAUUGUGUAAAUUAUAAUGAGAUUUGUGAUGAGGACUGUAGGGCAAUGUAUUGUGAGAAGUGUAAAAUAUGUAAACAUAAAUAUAAUUGUGAUUGUCCAGAAUAUACUGUUAAAAGUGUCAUGUGUUUCAUGGAUGAAAUGCAAGAAGAUAAUAAUCUGUAUGUCAAUGAACCUUCAACAAGCAAGACAGUUUAUGAGGAUGAAGUAAAUCAUUUUCUUGACGAGACUGAAAAUAGAAUGAAUGUGACAAUUGAUUUUGAAAGAAAGCGUGAGAUUUGUCUAGAACAGUUUUGCUCUGAAAUUCGUAAUUAUGGUGGUGGAUUGGGUGAACAUGAUUUAGAAAAAUUUAUGGGUGAUUUUAGAAAUUUUAUGCAGACAGUAAAACCAAAAGAAAUGGUGAUGAGUAAAAAAAGAAAAAUAGAAAAGCAGCAGUAUUAUCUCAACAAAAAACCUAAAUAAAUUUACUUAUAAUAAAAUGUUUAUAACUAUUUCAUUACUGAAUGACAUUGCUUUUGUGAGUGACCUAUUCUGGUAUUAUAUCUAAGUGGUGUUGGCUCUUUGUAUUCAUGUAAUUCGUUGGCUUAUGGUGAAGCAUACUUAUAAAAUAUAUUUUUUUAAUUUUAAUUUUGCCUUUGUUAUAAUUAACUAAUAUAUUAGUGUUUGUUUCAUA
rnacentral:lncRNA from 1 species